rnacentral:rRNA from 1 species
CCUCUAGAUAGAAAAUAGGUGCCCGUACCGCAAACCGACACAGGUAGUCAAGAUGAGAAUUCUAAGGUGAGCGAGCGAACUCUCGUUAAGGAACUCGGCAAAAUGACCCCGUAACUUCGGGAGAAGGGGUGCUCUUUAGGGUUAACGCCCAGAAGAGCCGCAGUGAAUAGGCCCAAGCGACUGUUUAUCAAAAACACAGGUCUCUGCUAAACCGUAAGGUGAUGUAUAGGGGCUGACGCCUGCCCGGUUCUGGAAGGUUAAGAGGAGUGGUUAGCUUCUGCGAAGCUACGAAUCGAAGCCCCAGUAAACGGCGGCCGUAACUAUAACGGUCCUAAGGUAGCGAAAUUCCUUGUCGGGUAAGUUCCGACCCGCACGAAAGGCGUAACGAUUUGGGCACUGUCUCAACGAGAGACUCGGUGAAAUCAUAGUACCUGUGAAGAUGCAGGUUACCCGCGACAGGACGGAAAGACCCCGUGGAGCUUUACUGUAGCCUGAUAUUGAAAUUCGGCACAGCUUGUACAGGAUAGGUAGGAGCCUUUGAAACGUGAGCGCUAGCUUACGUGGAGGCGCUGGUGGGAUACUACCCUAGCUGUGUUGGCUUUCUAACCCGCACCACUUAUCGUGGUGGGAGACAGUGUCAGGCGGGCAGUUUGACUGGGGCGGUCGCCUCCUAAAAGGUAACGGAGGCGCUCAAAGGUUCCCUCAGAAUGGUUGGAAAUCAUUCAUAGAGUGUAAAGGCAUAAGGGAGCUUGACUGCGAGACCUACAAGUCGAGCAGGGUCGAAAGACGGACUUAGUGAUCCGGUGGUUCCGCAUGGAAGGGCCAUCGCUCAACGGAUAAAAGCUACCCCGGGGAUAACAGGCUUAUCUCCCCCAAGAGUUCACAUCGACGGGGAGGUUUGGCACCUCGAUGUCGGCUCAUCGCAUCCUGGGGCUGUAGUCGGUCCCAAGGGUUGGGCUGUUCGCCCAUUAAAGCGGUACGCGAGCUGGGUUCAGAACGUCGUGAGACAGUUCGGUCCCUAUCCGUCGUGGGCGUAGGAAAUUUGAGAGGAGCUGUCCUUAGUACGAGAGGACCGGGAUGGACAUACCUCUGGUGUACCAGUUGUCGUGCCAACGGCAUAGCUGGGUAGCUAUGUGUGGACGGGAUAAGUGCUGAAAGCAUCUAAGCAUGAAGCCCCCCUCAAGAUGAGAUUUCCCAACUUCGGUUAUAAGAUCCCUCAAAGAUGAUGAGGUUAAUAGGUUCGAGGUGGAAGCAUGGUGACAUGUGGAGCUGACGAAUACUAAUCGAUCGAAGACUUAAUCAA